rnacentral:tRNA from 1 species
UCCGGAUUGGUGUAGUGGUCAACAUCUCUGUCUCUCAUUCCGUUUGAAUUGAAACACAGAAGCCCCUGGUUCAAUUCCUGGAUCCGGAA